ACGCUCGACACCUACGAGAGGCAGCAGUCGGGAAUAUUGCGCAAUGGAGGAAACUCUGACGCAGUGACGCCGCGUAUAGGAAGAAGGUUUUCGGAUUGUAAACUAUUGUCGUUAGGGAAGAGAAAGGACAGUACCUAAGGAGGAAGCUCCGGCUAACUACGUGCCAGUAGCCGCGGUAAUCUGAGCGGGGCUGGCAAGGC
rnacentral:rRNA from 1 species